UACGGAGGGAGCUAGCGUUGUUCGGAAUUACUGGGGGUAGAGCGCACGUAGGCGGCUUUGUAAGUUAGAGGUGAAAGCCUGGAGCUCAACUCCAGAACUGCCUUUAAGACUGCAUCGCUCGAAUCCAGGAGAGGUGAGUGGAAUUCCGAGUGUAGAGGUGAAAUUCGUAGAUAUUCGGAAGAACACCAGUGGCGAAGGCGGCUCACUGGACUGGUAUUGACGCUGAGGCGCGAAAGCCAGGGGAGCAAACGGG
rnacentral:rRNA from 1 species